rnacentral:sRNA from 1 species
AGUUGAAAACAGUGCCGUUUUGUUCCGUUGUCUUUCUGUCUUUCUGUCUUUCUGUCUUUCUGUCUGUAGUGUGUUUUGUCUCCAACCCUCAACUGUGGGCGCCGUUACUGACUCGCCGCCGUUACUGUUUGUCUCCUGCUAGUAUUAUUAGUUGAUGGGUAUUAGUUAGAGCUGGUACUCUGGUCAGGUGUCCAUCUGGAUCAAAAACGAAGAGGAAGAUGGGGAAGAGACCAGAUGCCCACGGACUAAUUUCAAGUGGAAAUGGAUUACGGUUACGAUGCAGCUAUUCUGAGGAAUGCUAUGAUGCUUCAAGGAGACCCUCAGCAGAUGCAGUCUAUUCACCUGCAGAAACCUCCAGAAUCAGAAGCCAGAUACAUUUCAGUUAUUUCAAAUUAUGAUUCUAUAAGAUGACCUGAACUUAUUACAUUAAAAGUUUGGUUUUCCCCUG